UCUCUCUUUCCCUUUUUGUGAUGGAACCUGACGACUAAGAACCUGCGAUAAAGAACAAACGGUGAACGACGAAUUCUGCUUGCUUCAUUCAAGCCAGUGGCAGAGGCGAUAUUUUCUGCUGGUCGGAGAUUAAGUUUUCCUCAAAAGCAUUCUAAACUCUACUGAGACUGUAGCAAGAGGAAGGCUCCAGAGCUUGGACCUAAAUGAUCUAGUUGGUGGUAUAGAGAUUGGACCAGAAUGGUGUGAGGUAAACGUUCAAGUACCAAUAAAAAAGGUGAAAACUUGGUAAUACCAUAUGGUUUAUUUUCUACAAUUCAAGAUUGUAUUGGUGCAUCCAUCGCAUGGCCCUAUCCAUUCAUCUCGGUAGUCCAUGACGAUUGAGGACGCAUGAUGAUUCAAGAUUUUAUGCUUCUUAUUUCUUUAAUUGUUUUUAAUUUUUUUUGUUAAAUGUUAAGACUUUAUGUUAGAUAAUGUUAUAACUUAUUUAUGGUUAGUGUUUUUGUUAUGAACAUGAUUAUUUGAAAUAUAAUGAAGUUUUAUUUUU
rnacentral:lncRNA from 1 species